AGAGCGGGCAGGGACGGAAGCGCAGAGGGUUGGGGCAAACUGCUAGUCCUACCCAAUGUAGAGGAAGGAGGGGUGGGAGCAAGGCGGGCGGGAAGCGCGUAGGGGACGGAGCUAAAGUCCAGCCACGCUCGGGGGAGGGGUAGGGACGGGCGAGUGACGUGGAAGGGCGGAGCUAAAAUCCACCCAAGUUCAGGGAUGAGACUGUGAGACGGAAGACGGAAGUAACAGAAUAUGCCACCAUUCAUUAUCUGACACUGCAUAAUCCAGAGGCAAAGGGCUUCCAGGGAUAGUUCCUGGGCUCGACUAUCACCUUUAGCCAGAAAGAAAGAUCGCAAGUAGGCAGAGCAGCAGGCAGAGGGAGAGAGAAGCAGGCUCCCCGCUGAGCAGAGAGCCAGAUGCGGGACUCCAUCCUAGGAAACUGGUAUCACGACUUGAACCUAAGGCAGACACUUAACCUACUGUACCACCCAGGUGCCCAGGACACUCUCCUGCUGGCUUGGAAGAGGCAAGCUGCUGUGAGCUCUACAGCUACAAGGAAAUGUAUUUAGUCACAAUCUGAAUGAGCUUGGAAGCAGGUUCUUACACAUUAAGUUUAUUGAUGAGAAUGCAGCCCGCUGCCACCUUGACUGCUACUUUUGGAGACCCGAAGACAGAGGAUCCAGCUAAGCCUUGCCAGACUUCUGACUCACAGGAGCAAUGAGAAAAUAAACGCAUGUUGUUUUAAGCUAUUAAAUUUACGGUAGCUUGUUAUACAGCAAGAGCAACAAUAGAAAUAGGCGCAAGUCCAGGUGAAAAACGCUGUAUACCUGGGCGCUUUGUUACUGUUAGGCGCUUCUACCAAAGAGCAGAACCGGGGUGCAGCCAGGAUAUGACCAACCCCAUAUACAACCCAGACUUAAAACAGAGGACCCUGACUCCAAAAAGCACCAACGAGUUGCCUGAGUUGACUGCCAGUAUCUACCAAUCAGAAUGCAUCAUUUCCCCCCUUUCCACCGUUAGCAUAUUGGGCCUGAGGAGGAGACCUAGCAGGGCGGCACUUUAUAUAAGCAGGGCCUCUCCACAGCUAGGACUGGUGAAUUUAGUUGUCCUGUGUCAGUGCUGUCUUCCUUCAUUUGAGCUGUCACCCCAAUAUAUCCUUGCCUUUGAUUUCUGGUCCUGCCUCAUUUCUUUCUAUUCUUUUUUUAAAGAUUUUAUUUAUUUAUUUGACAGACAGAGACCACAGGUUGACAGGCAAGCAGAGAGAGGAAGGGAAGCAGGUUCCCCACUGAGCAGAGAGACCAAUGUGGGGCUAGAUCCCGGGACUCUGGGAUCACGACCUGGGCCAAAGGCAGAGGCUUUAACCCACU